rnacentral:rRNA from 1 species
GACGAACGCUGGCGGCGUGCCUAAUACAUGCAAGUAGAACGCAGUUGCGAACGGGUGAGUAACGCGUAGGUAACAGCCUCAUAGCGGGGGGUAACUAUUGGAAACGAUAGCUAAUACCGCAUACUGGGAGGUGGACCUGUGUUGGAUUUGCAAGUUGGUGAGGUAAAGGCACACCAAGGCGACGAUACAGAGCCGACGUGAGAGGGAGAGCGGGCACCCUGGGAAUGGGACACGGACCAGACCCCUACUGGAAGCAGCAGUAGGGGUUCUUCGGCAAUGGACGGAAGUCUGACCAAGCAACGCCGCGUGAGUGAAGAAGGUUUUCGGAUCGUAAAGCUUUGUUGUUAGAGAAGAGGUAACUAACCAGAAAGGAACGGCUAACUACGUGCCAGCAGCCGCGGUAAUUC